AAGUCGGACGGCAGCGGGGGGGUAACUCCNUGCGAGAGUGGCGAACGGGUGAGUAAGACGUGGGUGAUCUGUCCCGGUCACGGGGAUAGCCUGUGGAAACAUGGGGUAAUACCGGAUAAGCUCUGCGGGGUAAAGGCCGCGGAGGAAAGGCGCGUAUGCGCCGGAGAGGGAUGAGCCUGCGGUCCAUUAGCUUGUUGGCAGGGUAAGAGCCUACCAAGGCGACGAUGGAUAGCCGGCCUGAGAGGGUGAACGGCCACACUGGGACUGAGAUACGGCCCAGACUCCUACGGGAGGCAGCAGCUAAGAAUCUUCCGCAAUGGGCGAAAGCCUGACGGAGCGACGCCGCGUGGACGAAGAAGGCCGAAAGGUUGUAAAGUUCUUUUCUUUGCGAAGAAUAAGGGGAGGAGGGAAUGCCUUUCUGAUGACGUUAGCGAAGGAAUAAGCCCCGGCUAAUUACGUGCCAGCAGCCGCGGUAAUACGUAAGGGGCGAGCGUUGUUCGGAAUUAUUGGGUGUAAAGGGCGCGCAGGCGGCUCUGAAAGUCCGGUGUGAAAGGCCGCAGCUUAACUGCGGUUGUGCGCUGGAAACUACAGGGCUUGAGUGCAGGAGGGGGAGCUGGAAUUCCAGGUGUAGGGGUGAAAUCUGUAGAUAUCUGGAAGAACACCGGUGGCGAAGGCGAGCUCCUUGCCAUGGACUGACGCUGAGGCGCGAAAGCGUGGG
rnacentral:rRNA from 1 species